ACGGAGGGUGCAAGCGUUGUUCGGAAUCACUGGGCGUAAAGGGCGCGUAGGCGGUAUUAUAAGUCAGAUGUGAAAGACUUCGGCUCAACUGAGGAACUGCAUCUGAAACUGCCUGACUAGAGUAUCAAAGGGGAAAGCGGAAUUCCCGGUGUAGAGGUGAAAUUCGUAGAUAUCGGGAGGAAUACCGGUGGCGAAGGCGACUUUCUGGCUUGAUACUGACGCUGAGGCGCGAAAGUGUGGGGAGCAAACAG
rnacentral:rRNA from 1 species